rnacentral:lncRNA from 1 species
CAGAGCAGUAAGGCGAAGAAAGAGAAGAGAAGGAGCGUCUGAACGUCAAGAGGAGUUCAGCUGGGGAUGGCCAAACUCCAGGGGAAGAUCAUCUUCUCACUACAUCCCCUUUCCAGCUCCCCAUCCAUCCCACUGAGAGCCACCUCCAUCAGUCAAUAAAAUCCCUGCAUUCACCAUCCUUCAAGUUCACAUGACCCGAUUCUUCCUGGAUGCCAGACAAGGACCCGGGUACUAAGAGGACAGGGUGUAAAAAGCUGUCUGACUCUCCACUAAACUGGUUAACGCUUAGCUGUCUGGGGAUGGCAACUGCUAAAAGGGUAUUCAUUCUAACACUUCCCUAGAGGCUACUGAUACUGAAGUGCUGGGAAGGAAAGAGCAUGGUCCUUUUAAAUGAUAUGGAAGUGGGGAAUGGAAGGGCUGGGUAGAGGAGGGCAUGGUGCCUGGCUAGGACUCUACCCCCACAGACCUAGGUGAGGACAGGCACAUCUGUCUUUGUGCCCAAAUGUUGCAUUUUCCAAGACCACUCUGGCCUGCCACACCCCCAUCCUGUGCCUAUAAAAACCCCUGAAACCCUAGCAGUCAGAUACACAAGUGGCUGGACAUUGUGAGGAACACAUUGGUGGAAAAAGACACAGGUGGCUGGACGUUGAGAGGACAUCGAGGGGAGCACUCUGGCGGAAGAGCACACCAACAGAUGCCAGCAUGCCGCAGGCCAUUGACCAGCAGAAUGACACAGAGUUUGGCUGGGGCAGUCAGAGGAGAGCCCAGGUCCCUGAGCUGCCUGACUCCAGGAAAAAGCCAUCUCCCUUCUGGCUCCCCCAUCUGCUGAGAGCUACUUGUACUCAAUAAAACCUUGAACUCAUUCUCCAAGCCCACAUGCGAUCCAGUUCUUCCAGUACACCAAGGUAAGAAACUCCGGGAUACAGAAAUCCCUCUGUCCUUGUGAUAAGGAAGAGAGUCUAAUUGAGCUAACACAAGCCACCUGCAGAUGGCUAAAUUAAAAAAGCGCCCUGUAACACAUGCCCACUGGGGCUUUAGGAGCUAUAAACACUCACCCCUACACACUGCCAUGAGGUUGCAGCCCCACAACCUGCCCGUCUGUAUGCUCCCCUAGAGGUUUGAGCAGUGGGGCACUGAAGAAGCAAGCCACUCCCCUGUCACACGCCCUGUGAGGGGGACAAGGGAACUUUUCCUGUUUCACUACUAUGCGGCUGGAGCCCAAAAGCACUCAUCCCAGCUCCUGCACCUGUCUGUCUGCAUGUUUCCCCCUCUUGUAAGGGGUUUGAGUACAUGGUGGCCAAGCAAACAGGCCACACCCUUGUUGCAAGUCCCGCGAGAGGUUCAGAGAACUCUCCCGUUUCACUCCUGCCUCAGGCCUCAGCCACCACAGUAAGUGGAACUCUAUACCUCCACCUCGCCUGGCUGGGUGGAGCCUCUAAACUCAGGAUUCUGCCUUGAGCUGUGGCUCUCCCCUCAGGUUGACAGGGUCCAGAGCAAAACCUACGGAAGAAGCUGCAGAGGCCAGGUGGAGGGAAGGAUGCUGAACUGGAGGAGGCCAGGAAAUUAUGAGGUGAUUCUAAGCACAUUAAAAUCUGGAUGACACUUAUCUGAAUCAUUUCGCAACUUGGAGAGAGAUGGAGAAGACACGCAUGGUGUAACUGGGCAUCACCAGAAUGUGCACUGCCAUCUGUGGCUGUCUUCCUGCUGGCAAAUCCUUUUCAUUCCAAGCAAAUAAGAUUCCCUAAAUUAGACAAAAAGGAAGAAACACAACAGAGUCCAUAAUUCUGAGAGGAAGAGAAGAGUGAUCAUCAGCAGCAAAAGGCAAUUGCAGAGAAGCACCACCAAGAGCCAGCUUCAUGCUCAGGAGUGAAUGCUGAGCCGCCUCCUCGUGGUUUCCGGUGCUCCACAUGUUCAGAGAAACUUCUCUGCACCUCUCCAGAUUGACAAAGUCUCCUGACAAUUACUGAUCAGUCACAUCUACAAAUGUUUGUAGCAUUCUGAGGUGUGACUUAUCUACAUCUUGGGAAAUACAUUUCUGCAAUUAAUUAAUUACUGAUUAAUGGAGCAACUACAGAAAAUAUUCAAAUCGAAGAAAGGAAGGUGGACAAGGGAAAGGAUGGAAAGAUGAGUAUGACCCAGUCCUGUACUGAAGAUGAACAGACUGGACGUCGAAACAUAAAUAAAAUACAUUGACAAAUGCUGAGACGACCUAGUCUGAGAAGCACUGUACUGUGGGCUGGUAUCAAGGCUUAGUGGGCACCGGGACGGGAGCCACUUUUGCCUGGGAAAAUAAGGUCACUGAGCAUUGGAGGACAAAUAGAGUUUGUGAUGUGUUGUGGGACAUGUCACAGAUGCCUCAUGGCUAUAAGAUAAAAGUGCUCUGCUGGGGAGACUGGCUGAGGUAGUGGUUACGAAAUUGGGAACAGAGAGUGGAGGGCCAAGCUAAACAGCGGGGACCUCAGACACUUCAUUGGAUAAACCCAGCGGUUAAGUCCCUACAGGUUCUCAAGCAGGGAGUGCUGUGGCCCACAAUGGAACUUUCCCUUUGUGGAGUAUUAAUUGAAGAUGAGAGUGUGUGGGGCUGGAGCCUGGAGGCUCUCUGCUUCUCACCUUUUCCAGAUAAAGUUUUCUUCUGCACUUUGAAAACCCUUUCUUGUUGGAAGGCAACUUCCCAUUGUAAAGAAACUCUGGCUGGUGUCCUCUAAGCACAUUUACUUUGGAGAGGUGUAGGAUUAGCAUUUUCACUGAAAUAGUUUUUGUUUCUAAAAGGGCUUACUUUAAGUGGUUAAAACCUCCUUUUUCCCUCAAGCCAUUGCACAAUAUCGAUCACAGUAUUUGUUCAUUUAGCAGAUCUUUUCUUCCUGUGGCCACAAUGAAGGUCAGUGUUGAGCUUUAAUGCAGUCCCUGUCCAAAUGAUGAUCAAUUUCAAAGGAAUAAGAAAUAAAAAUUGAGCUAGCAGUAUUAAAAAAUGAAUUUUGACUAUGAUUAUUCGUAAAAGCAGUGCAAUCAUG